rnacentral:lncRNA from 1 species
CUUUGAUUUAGAUUUAGCAAACCCUAGCAUAGGCUAGUCAUUUUGUUUUGUCUUGAGCCUUGUAUGACAACUAGAUCAGGAUCACCCUACAACCCAUCACAUACACAACCCAUUGAAGCCAUGGACCCCAAUCUUGAGACCAUCCUAAGGACUAUGACUAAGCAGUUCAAACAAUUGAACAAUAGGUUUGAUCAAGUUGAGGAGAGGCUAGGAACCCUAGAGGAAAAUCAACAGACCCACGUGGAACCUGAAUUGACACCCCA